GACGAACGCUGGCGGCGUGCCUAAUACAUGCAAGUCGAGCGAAGUUUUUCUGGUGCUUGCACUAGAAAAACUUAGCGGCGAACGGGUGAGUAACACGUAAAGAACCUGCCUCAUAGACUGGGACAACUAUUGGAAACGAUAGCUAAUACCGGAUAACAGCAUUAACUGCAUGGUUGAUGUUUAAAAGUUGGUUUUGCUAACACUAUGAGAUGGCUUUGCGGUGCAUUAGCUAGUUGGUGGGGUAAAGGCCUACCAAGGCGACGAUGCAUAGCCGACCUGAGAGGGUGAUCGGCCACACUGGGACUGAGACACGGCCCAGACUCCUACGGGAGGCAGCAGUAGGGAAUCUUCCGCAAUGGGCGAAAGCCUGACGGAGCAACGCCGCGUGAGUGAAGAAGGAUUUCGGUUCGUAAAGCUCUGUUGUUAGGGAAGAAUGAUUGUGUAGUAACUAUACACAGUAGAGACGGUACCUAACCAGAAAGCCACGGCUAACUACGUGCCAGCAGCCGCGGUAAUACGUAGGUGGCAAGCGUUGUCCGGAAUUAUUGGGCGUAAAGCGCGCGCAGGUGGUUUAAUAAGUCUGAUGUGAAAGCCCACGGCUCAACCGUGGAGGGUCAUUGGAAACUGUUAAACUUGAGUGCAGGAGAGAAAAGUGGAAUUCCUAGUGUAGCGGUGAAAUGCGUAGAGAUUAGNAGGAACACCAGUGGGCGAAGGCGGCUUUUUGGCCUGUAACUGACACUGAGGCGCGAAAGCGUGGGGAGCAAACAGG
rnacentral:rRNA from 1 species